rnacentral:ncRNA from 1 species
GGUGGCGCAUAAAGCACCGCCUGAGAAUAUACCCCCUCGACCUGAUCCGGAUAAUACCGGCGUAGGGAAACGGAGAUGA